CAGAUAAUAAUUUAAUUAAAAUGUAAAUUUUGGAGAUUUAAUUUGACUAUUUAUGUCUUUUCUGA
rnacentral:tRNA from 1 species